UUUUCUCACGUGUUGAGAUAAGAUCACAGCCAAAAAGAGAGAAACACGAGGAAGCUCAAAGUUGAGAGUUUGCUAGCACAAACUUCGGCUUAGGGAUUCACACAUUCUUAGUGAAGAGAUUUCGGCAUAUCACUGUGUGGAUCACCAUUAAACGUAGGACAACUGUGCUGCUGUUGUUUGAUAAGUCCUAGUUGAUGUACAAAAGUUAAAACGAAAAGCCAAGGAGGACUCCACCAAAGAAAGCAGAUUUUCAGGUAUGUCAAAAUUUCUUUUGUGAUUUUUCUAGAUUAGUUUCAAUUAAAGUGAUCCAUGGCUUUGGGGAUUAAAAUUUUAAUAAUAUUCCACUGCGUAUGAGUUGUCUUAGCAUGAUUUAAAUCCCCAACAAUGGUAUCAGAGCCUCCUUUAAUUGAUUUAAUCUAGUUUUAUGUUUAGUUGUUGAAGAUUACAAAAACUGUUUUGUUUAUAUGUCGAUUUGAUGCAAAGUUUGAAAAAUUAUUUAGAAUAAUUCUGAAUGGAUUUUUCAAAACUAAUUUAUGUUUCAAAAGUCCUUUAAAGUCUUGAUUUAUGGCUUUAAAAUCUAGAUUUAAUAAGUCCUUAAAGAUUUUAUAGAUUUGUUUUAAGAGAAUCCAAAUUUGAAAAAUCUGGCAGCAUAAUGUGAUCUGCUUUGGAAAUUUUUUUGAGGGACUUAGAGAAGGAGUUUGAACGUGAUUUUUGGAGGGUAGAAGGUCAAGAGGAUGAUCUUAACCUCUGAAAAUUUACAGCAUUUAAUUAUCUCGUUUGGGUGGUGAUCUGAUGAUGUUUCUGCACAAACAGUUUGUUGGAAUAACGGUGAGAAUACUUUUCCCAGUUUGUUUCUCAACUUCAGCCUUAAACUCUUUGAACUUUUCAAAAGCUUCAGACUUGUACUUCAUUAGGUACACAUAACCAAAUCUAGAAUGGUCAUUUGUAAACGUAAUGAAAUACGAAUAACCUCCUCUGGCUGGUGUGUUUAAGGGUCCACAUACAUCCGAAUGUAUUCGCCCUAGGAGCACACCUGCUCUUUCAGCCUUUCCAGUAAAAGGAUUCUUAGUUAUCUUACCAAGGAGACAACGUUCACAAGCUCCAUAUGAUUCAUAAUCAAAUGGAUCUAGAUAACCUUGCUUAUAUAACUUAGCUAUCCUUGUCUCAUUAAUAUGACCAAGCCUACAAUGCCAGAUAUAGGUUUGAUUUGGAUUAUCUUUUCUAGCUUUCUUGACAUCUAUAUUGAGCAUUGGGCUAUCAAGAUCCAUAACAUAAAGUCCUCCAUGACAUGUUGCAGAUCCAUAAAAUAAAUCAUUUAGAAUGACAGUGCAAUAAUUGUCCUUCAUACUAAAUUCAAAAUCAUCAUUCUUAGCUAGGUAUGAAACCGAAAUGAUGUUUCUAGUUAAUGCUGGUACACAAUAGCACUCUUUUAGCUCUAGCACUAAGCCCGAUGGUAAAAUAAGAUCACAAGUCCCAACGGCAACUACUGCAAUUUUUGCACCAUUGCCUACUCUUAGGACUACCUCAUUUUUACCAAGCUUACUACUAUCCUUUAAAGCCUUUAUGUUAGUACAUAAAUGCGAUACACAUCCUGAAUCUAUUAUCCAAGAUUUAGGAUUAGUAGUAGAAAGAUUAAGCUCAAUCAUAUUUAAAGUUAUCUCUUUACUUGUCAAGAUUGCACCCUUCCAUUUAUUGAGAACUUUUCUCAAAGUGAUAUACCAGUCCAAACAUUUUAGGUUGAUGGCAUCAAGUAUGCCAAGCAAAGUAGCAAUUACUAUACCCAUUCUAAUGACCUAUAAAUGUAGAAAAAGUAUUUGUAUUACCCUUUCAUGUUAUAAAUCAAUUUAAGACGAGGUAUUAAAUCUUACAUUGAUUCUCCCACUAAUUUUUCGUAAUAAUAGCCUUCACUAUUAUACGAAAAUCUCUACUAGGUAUUUCUAGUGGGUUUGGACCCCUUUCGAAUUAUUGCAACCUUGAGUGACUCAACAAAUCACAAUAAGCUUAAUUGGGUAGAUAACGUAGCUUAUCAAUUACAUCCACAUACAACUCCCAGAUCAGUUAGGUGACAACUCAUUGUCUAAAUGCAUCAUAUGCAUUUCGCCUAACCCUACCUCUAAGACCAUGUGGUCAAGUGUGACACAUCUAAACCACACAGUUUUAGUUGAGUAAGACCCAUCAAUAACUCAAACGUGCCCGUGUAAAAGUUUGACCUUGAGUGACUCAACAAGUCUCCAAUUAAAAGGGUAGCCUGGUUAUCUUGUUAUAUGGUGGAAGGCAACUUAAUCAUGCGGAGCAUGUGACUCAAUAUUUUAAUGAGGGAUUUUUGUUGUUGCUUUUAUCUUGUUAUUUAGGUCUCAUUGAAUUUGGCAUGCAUAACAUUUAUAAUAUUGCAUAAAAUAAAUCUAUCACAUGCAUACUACUAGGAUGAUUAUGGACUUUUAUCUAAUCUAAUUUCCUUAAGCCAUCAAAGGAAAUUAGUUGGUCAAAUCCUAAGGGAUUACAUACAAAUAUCACCAUAUCUUGUAGUCUUGUAAUCUUCAUGUCUCCUUGGCACCUUCGUCCUUCAUUCUUGGAAUUACAAAAUUUUCUUCCUAAUCCAAUCCUAUAAAUUCUAAUUACAUAAAUGUAAAGAAACCUCAAGUUACAUUUGAGGGGAGUAAGAUGAGAAGAGAAUUUUACAACUCCUGAAUAAAAUAGUGGAAAGACAGGGCACACACUCCCUAUUUAUAAAAUAAAUACCAAAUACAUUCAACCAUAACCAUCCAUAACACAUUAUAGUGGUCUAAGUCCAUAAUCAUCCUCAUACAUUCAUAAUCAUAUAAUGAACAUAUAAAACUUAUGUUUAAUUCAAAUUGAAGAUCUCAUAUGUCAUUUGGCAAUAAUAUUACUCAACUUUUGAAGAUAUUAAUCCAAAUAAUUUGAUGUCCAAGUCCCAUUAAAUGUCUUGCGCCAAUAUAGAAGUCCUAGUCCUACUAGGAAUUAAAUUAAGCAUAGACUUUGUAAUCCUAAACCUUUUAGGACUAUGAAUUUAAAUCUGACCCUUAUUCUCAAUAGGAGUUCUAAUCAUAUUAGAAAUUUAAUAUUCAAAGGAAUCCUAAUCCAAUUAGGCUUUCUAAUCUUAUUAGAAAAUUUAAUCCUUGUUGUCCUCAAUUUUUACAAUUCUAGUCUAGCUAGAAUUAAAUCUUUAUCGCCAAGAGUCCUAUUUCUUUGCUAAUUUGAUUUUAGAAUCUUAUUUGGGGUAAUCCUAAACUCUUUAGGAUAUGUUCCAUUACAGUUAGGAGUCUAAAUUCAGGUCACAACCAAAUUAGUACAACUCUUAAUUAUAUAGAGAAGAAAUAGCACAAGCUAGUGUAAUUUUAUUGGGUCUGCAUCACUCAUGCUGUCCCAAAUCCUUUGAAGCUCCAUACUCCAUUGUUUACUACAAUUUUGGCACCAAUUCAGAGACAUCCCAUCGGAUCGAGGAGGAAAAUAUCUUAGUCAGGAGUUUCUGGAUUAUCAAAUAGAACAUGAGAUUCUAUCACAAUGGACUCCACCUAGAACUCCAUAACACAAUGGAGUGUCAAAGAGGAGAAACCGAACCUUGUUGGACAUGGUUCGUUCCAUGAUGAGUAGGGUAGACCUUUCGAUAUCCUUUUGGGGAUAUGCCCUAGAGACUGCUACUUACCUUCUUAACAAGGUUCCAACCAAAUUGAUUGCUAAGACACCAUAUGAGAUGUGGUAUGGCAAAAGGCCAAACUUGUCUUAUACAAGGACUUGGGGAUGUACGACUUAUGUAAAGCGUGCAUCAUUUGAUAAGCUUGGAGCUAGAUCAGACAAAUGCAAGUUUGUAGGGUAUCCUAAACAAAUUGUAGGAUACUAUUUUUACAAUCCCAUUGAGCAAAAUGUGUUUGUCUCGAAAUAUGCCACUUUCUUGGAAAAAGAGUUUUUACUUGAAGGGAUUAGUGGGAGUAAAAUAAUUCGUGAAGAAGUUCAAGAACCACAAACUGACAUCUCUUUGGAACAUGAGUCUACGAUUGAAGCAUUGGAUGCUUAAACCAGCACUCAAGAAACACAAGUGCUCCGUAGAUCUACGAGAUAGAGAUAACUUCCAAAGAGAUAUAGAUUUAUGAUGGAAAGAGAUGCUCUGCCGAUUGACAAAAAGCCUACUACUUAUAAGGAAGCAAUAUCUGAUAUUGAUUCUGAUAAGUGGCUAGAGGCCAUGAAAUCCAAAAUGGAUGCCAUAGAUGUCAACCAAGUAUGGACUUUGGUUGAUGCACCUGAAAGGGUAAAACCCAUAGGAUGCAAAUGGGUCUUUAAGAGAUAAAUGGUAAAUCUUUAAGUUUUAUAAGCAAAAUGUGAAUAAAUGAAAUGAUUUUAUAAAAUUGUCUUGAAAUUGAAUGAUGGUUUUGAAAAUGGAGUAAUUGGAGACUAAUUGUUGUGUUAUAAAUCAUGGUUUGAAUUGAAUGGCUUAUGAUAAUAUUGGCAUGAAUGGUUGAGUUGGUAUUUGUGUUGAAAAUGUAUGAACUGUUAAUUUGCCUUGAGAGGCUGUAAAAUAAAAUAAUUGCCAUGUCAUGCUGUUGAAUUUUAUUGAAUUGGUGGGUUAUAAAUUGGUCGCUGUAGAAGACUGGUUCCGUGGACAAGCCUAUUAGAGGGGCACGAUAACCCUAUUAUAUUCAUACCUCAGUAUGAGAGGCGCGGUUGGAUAACUUCUGAGGUUAAAACUUUAGAGUUCACUUCACGCCAAACUACCACAUGAGGGUGAACUCAGCCAACGCCAAGGAACGGCUAUGUUUUCAAAAUAAAAACAUGAUUUAUGCGUACAUGACUUUUUAAUAGCCUUGGCAGACUCGGUUGGGAUAGCCCCAGGCCAAGGUAUCCCUGAUAACUGAGUAUGAGAAUGAUUUUGGCACGAGCCAAAGUUUUAAGAAAUUCAUAAGCCAUGUUGAUUACUCGAUUUAUAUGAAUUGAUUUUAUUUGGUUGAAAUGAGUUGAGAGGUGAUGAAUUACAAUAUGAUGAUCUAUUUUAAUCUGUCUCCAUUUACUCAAUUUUAGAUAUUUUAGAUGGUAUUUGUUUACUCACUAGGAUUAUAUAGUCUCACUACCUUCAUUUCCAUCCAUUUCAGGCUCAGGAUAGUCUGUAGAUAGCUCAUUUUGUUGAGGUCUACAAUUGGACUUGCAUCCUCAAAAACUGUAGGUUUACCGCUUUUGAUACUUUUGGUCGUUCGUGGGCCCACGUGUCACUGUAAAUUAAAUUUUAUACUUUGGUUAUCUGUAUUACAGUAUGUAUGAAUUUAUUUAGCUUUUACGCUAUAAAAAAUUAUUUACCGGUAACUCUAUAAAUAUUGUUUUAUAAAAAAAUAGAAUAUUUUAUUGAAUAUUUUUAUUAUAUUCAAAUAGUCAUAAUUUCAUUUUAAAUAAAGGUUUUAGACGUUUAAACUUAUUUUUGAUUAUGAAUUAUGUCUUUUAUACUCGCAUACUACAUUUUUAGCUGGUUUCGAAAUUUUCGGGGAAAAAUGACCAAAAUGCCUUUAUGAGACAGAUAAUUAUUUUUUUUAUUGAUUUAAGUUCGAAAUAGCUUAAAAUCUUUUAGAACAUGAUAUUUGGCAAUGGUUAUUUACAAGGGAAAUGAGAAACUGAUAUUAAAGCCUUGCGAGAUUUCGGUUGACAUUCCGGGUAACGAGUGUCGAUUGGGACACCGCGGUGGUUAUCAUGGGCUCGAGGGGAGUAUCGGGUCAUGACAAUUAGAGUGGUAUCAGAGCUUUUGGUUUUGAAGAUCAGAGUUUUUGGGUUUAAAGCUUUUUUAAAAAACUACAGUGUUAGUGUGGCCCAAGUUAAGUUAAGUUAAGUUAGGUUUGAUAGAAUAGAAUACAUGCAUUUGCAUAUAGAAUUUAGAGUUGUUUAGACUCGUUCUAUUUCUUCUUAUAGAUCUUAUGGGAGCAUAAGUCAUAGACAGGGAGCUAUAUGAACUCCUGUUCCCAGUAAUGCACUUCCUUGUUAAUGUCAUGCAAAGGUUAUAAGUAGGGCAGUUGUCCAGGUUUAAGAUGCCACUCGUGACACGAGCCAGUGUUAGAGAGAUCUCAAAACGAAUGCUCCUAAUGAAAGAUUAAUGAAAUGAUAUAUCCCUUCGAUUAGGGAUGGAUAAAUUUGGAGUUGGACUAAUAAACCGUGAUAAUUUAUUCAUUUGGUGGAGUUAUAAUUGAACUCAUGGUUGUCAAUUGGAAAAAGAUUUAGGGACUAUGGAUUGUAUUGAGGUUCAUAUAAAGGAGCACGUGUGAUAAUGGUAAUAAGGGGUGCACUUUGAUUAGAAUGAAUAGUGAUGGUUGUAAUUCACUUGGAGUGUAUAAAUUAAGCAUUGAGGUAAGAGUAAACCCAUACUUAUGUGCAUGAAGAUAAGAACACUAUGUUAAUUGAGCUUGUUAUGCCCAUAUAAAAGUGGUGUUGGGAUUUUGAAAUAUUUUAUAUGUGAAUAUGUGUUGAAUAGGUACAGCAGCUUAGAGGGAACUGGUGUUGAUUUCAAUUAAGCGAUUGUGAGAUUUCAAGAAUUGAUUGGACCUAUUAUAGUUCAUGGAUAUAAGCACGUGAAUUAACUCGAGAGUGAGUAUCAAUGAUUACUAUAAUUGAUGUGUGGUCAUGAAGUAAGAAGUUAGUAAACAAAUUUGCUCUAAGGAUGAGCUUGAACUUUGCUAUGCAUAGUAGGGGGAGCCAAGGGAUUAAAGGACUAGAUGUGGAAUUGGCAGCUUGAGGUUAAAUGACUUGGAAAUGUUGAAUCUAGUCUAAGUGCCAUAUGAAAUUCUAUAAUUGAGACUGAUAUACGAAUUACUUGAAAGAUCAAUUUAAAAGUUUAUUUGGUUCAAAGUGUGGCGUAUGAUACGAAUGAUUAGUCUUGAAGGUGAUCUCCCAAGAGUAAGGAAUUUAGAAAAUGUUGAUGUUCGAAUAUACUCUAAGAGAGAGAACUUCUACAUCCUAAGUUUAGGACAACUUUGAUCUUAUGUUCGCAAAGGCAAGGUGUAAUAACUAAGUAAAUUAUUCACUUAAUAAAUGUGAUUGGUUGUUGAUGAAUAAAGUCAAGAUCUUAACAUUUAGUGGUACACAAUUUGAUAAUUAUGUAUUUAAGAGUUAUUUGGAGACAAUUCCUUCAUCAAAUUUGCACUAAAUGCUAUGGUAAAGGCAUAUCAAUGUUAAUAUGGAAAUGUAUCCAGGAAUGAUCUUAACAUACCACCAAAGGAGAAUUAAACAUGUUGAAAUUAAUGUUCUAAUAGUGUGCAUAUGAUAGAAAGCUAGUUUGUAAGUUGUAGUUUUCAUGAUCAUGAAAUAUAUAAAGAUUAUCAAUAUAUGGACAUACACUUGGAGUUGUAAUUUACAAGUUUGGAGUAUUUAAGAUAUGAUUAAAUGGAAUUAGCAUUAGUUAAGGUACGUAAAUCUUUUAAUUAAUUUCUGUGGAGUAUGCAUGAUAGUAGAAUGGAGGAACAUAGUGCCGUGAUACUAUAUGGUGAAGUUACUAUACAAUAUGGAAAGAGUAUUCUAAAGUGGGAUUUAUUGAUUGUUGACAAGUGUUAUAGGAUGAGAUGAAUUUGAAAAUAUCGACUUUACCUAUUAUAUGUGAUAAGCACAAGAGGAUAUAAAUGGUUAUGGAAAUUAUGACGUAAGCUUGGAGGGAAACCAAAUAGUUGAGAAUGAUUAGUGUAGUAACCUUAAAUAUAGAUGAAUAACAUUGAUUAAGUAAACUCCAACAGCCACCAUGCCGCGGUGCUAAGAACACUUCAUGUCUAGGAUGCAUGAAUAAAAUGAGACAGAUGUGAAGUUGAACUUACGAGUUGACCUAAAGUCAUUGAACUUGAUUUUAAGUUUUGUUAACUGGAGUUUUAAGAUUUUGGAAGGUAUCGAUAUGAAUGAGUUAAAGUUGAAAUGGUUAAAGGCAUUCCUUUCAGGGGGGUGGGGGAGUAAAAAGGUCUGGGGUUUGAAACUUGGAGAGAAAGUCCUACGGGGCCUGUCGUGCCCCCCUUAGGCGCGAGGUUCCGAGUAAAUCAAGUGAUGGGGAUCCAAACAUAACAAUACCUUGGAGUGGGCCCCAAAGGGGAUGCCACAUAAAUGGCUAAGUUACGAGUUAAGUGAUCACAUGUUGUGAGACAUAAGUUUAAGAUAGAUAUCCCUAAGGAAAUACUCAAGAGAAAUUCUACCAUGGAUCUCGUGAAAGCAAGCACUAAGUUAUGUGAUCAUAAAAAGGAAGCUGUAAGUUGAAAGUGAUAUUCAUAUUAACAUUGAAAGGUACUUGAGGAGAAUCUAGUUUUAAGUUUUACAAUUUCAAGUGCAAUUUAUAAAUUGGCUAAGGGAGAAUGAUGUUAUGUUCAUAUGAAAGAGUGGAACAAAGGAUGAUAGAAGUUGACCUUGAUAAUGAAGUCAGAUAAUGAAACUUUCCUAAUAUAUUAUGGAAAUUGGAAUUCGAAAAUGCUUGAGGCAUACAUGAUUCAAAUAAGUCUGAGUUUUAAGUGACCAAUCAAUAUCGAAAUGCAAAAAGGAUACAAGGUAAUAUAGAGGCAUGAAAGAUAAUUGAGGAAAAAGGAUGACUUUUAGGAAUUGUGGUAUUGCAUAAGAUGCAAUGAUCAAGUUAAGAUAAAUCUUUGAGGCAUCAAUGGGAUUACAAAGCAUGCACACAUAAUAGAUUAUAAUUCAAUGGAGAUGACAUUGUGAUGCAAUGAUAUACAGUACAAGGAAAUUUAAGCAUAUAAUUGGAAAAGAUAAGAAGAGAGUAUAAGUAUGUAAAUGAUGUGGAACUAUGCACAAGUAUGAUGAGAAUUUGUAUGAAUUAUGAAGAUUAUUCUAUUGAAUCUUGGUUAUGGAUGGGAAUGAAUAAAGAGAAAUUAAUCUGAAGGCAUUUGAAACAGAGACCCGUAUACAUAAUGAAGAAUAUGGACAUUUGAAUAUGCAUAUCUACGUAUGUGUGGAGUUAGUGAUGUACCCAACUAAAAUGAAGAAUGGUUUUAGGGGUUCGAGACUUGAACUCAAUAUAUUUGAUGAGUUGUAUAGAUAAUGUAACGAUCAAGAAUCUUAUCAAAAGUCGAUUUAUGGCGACCUAAGGAAUUUUGGGAAAAUAGUUAAGGGAAUGUAAUCCAUAGUGCGAUUAAGCCAUACGAGAUGGACUAAUAGAAUUAAGAAGAUUGAAAUUUCCUAAAUGCAAGGUAAACAUGAAGUAUAUGUAAAUAAUUGAAGCCAUUAAUCUUCCCUAACGCUAAGGAUAUGUACAGGAAUGAGUAUGGCGUGUUAAUAAUGCCGUAAGCUACACAAUAGUGUAUGAGGAUAGGAUGAAUGAAUGAAAGUCGAGAAAUUUGAUAUGGAAUGAAGUAAUAAGAUAGUGAUUGGUAUAUCUAAAUAAGUAUAAAAUGCGAUUGAAAUUGGUAUGAUUGAGAUGGAGUUAUGGUUCAAGUUUAAUGAUAGUAAUAGAAGCAUGUUUGGUGUCUCGAUAUAAGAGAUCAAAAUUGUGAAGGUUACCAUUGAUCUUAUUUUAAAGGAUAAUAAUAGACAUAAGUGAAGUACUCGAGCUGAAUUGGAGGUAAAUGAGGUGAACAAAUCGAAAUUCCCUAUAAAGGGGAGGACAUAAGAAGUCGAGCAUUGGAUGAGAAAACAAUACCCUCACUUUUUCUCUGAGUUUAGUAAAUGAAAUUUUGAGGUCAAAAUUUUAUUUUAAGGGGGGUAGUGCUGUCAAGCCCAGCUCUACAAUAUGUUUAUUAUGCCAUUCUUAUAUAAGAAUGCAUGUUUGCUUACUUGGGUACCUUGAAAAUCGUUAAAGGACGGUAUUGUACCAAAUGGUACAAUUAAGUUGAAUUAAGCCUCGAAUUAGUCCAAAUAGAGAUUUUAAGAUGAAAUUGAGAAUUUUAAAACCCCAGAAUGACUUAAAAUAGUGAUUUGGAGUUCGAGGACCGAUUUGGAGUCAAAUUGGAAUUUUCAUAACUUAGGGGCAAAAUGGUCAUUUUACCACCCAAGGUUAAAAUUGGAAUGUUGGAAGAAGUUUUUGAUCAAGAUUGACUAUUUAGAACAUAAUUUGAGUUUGAGAAGUGAGAAAUUUUAAUUCCAACUUUUUUUCGAGUGUAAGGGUAAAAUAGUCAUUUUGCCACCCAAGGGCAAAAUUGUAAUUUUACACCACCCAACACUUGUCCAGCACAUGGAUUUUACCCAAUAUUAUCAUGGAUAAUUGAGGAAAUUUAAGUGGUGGAGAGAGAUUACUUAAUGGGUAAGUUUGACACAUGGACCAAUGGAAUGGUGACAUGUGUCAAAUUUUCAUCCAUUUAUUAUUUCGCUUAAAAAUCAGCACAAAAUCAGCCCAUUUCUCUUCAUAUGGCCGGCCAAAGCAAGAACAAAGGAAGAAAAGAAAGAACAAGAACCCUAGGGUGAAAAUUCAAGAGAAAAUUGGUGGAUUUCAAGUAAUCAAGCAAUCAAAGGUAAAAUUUCUUGAUUUUGACUUGUGAUCUACCUUUCCCAUACAUUCUUUUGCAUUUUCCAUGGUUGAAUCACAAGAUAUCAUGAAGGAUAGUGUGCUGAUCAAACCCUAGGAGAGAGAAUUUGAUGAUGAUUUAGAUAGAUUUUUAAGAUAUAUGGAUGUUUUUAGUUGUUUAUGGUGUAAGUGUAAGAAUUAAGCAUGAAAUUCACAUAUUCCUCAUGAGUUCAUCAUUGGCCAAAUCUUCCUUGUAGAGUGUUGAUGGUGGAUUUGAUUUUAUUUCAAGUGAAUUGGUUAGGAAAUGAUGAAUUAUGGUGAGAAAAUCAAGUAGGAAAAAUCAUAGUGUUGAUGCACUCCCCAUGGCCAAAAUUCCCAAGAAGAAAUGUGAGGAUGAUUUUGCUAAAUUUUAUGCUAUUUGACUUGUGUUUGAUGGUUUGGGGAAUUGAAAGAAAAAUGGAGUUAAUUGGAGUUUAAUUGGACGUAUUGGCCAAUUAAUCGGGUGAUAGAUCGAGUUAGGCCAAUACCGUUUUAUUUAGGUACAUAAUUGAAAUUAUAUUGAACACCGUAUUUAGAUAGUUUCUCGAGUAUUUCACACCCCAUUCAUGCAUUACUAUAGAGCCUGAAUUGGUUUUAUAAUAAUUUAGCACAAAUGUAGUAAAUGGCUUAUUGUGCAUUAUGUUUAGGUGGUGAGCAUUCUGACAAAAGUAAAGAGAUAGUACUCGAGAAUCAAGAAUCG
rnacentral:lncRNA from 1 species